CGAACGGGUGAGUAACGCGUGAGGAACCUGCCUCAAAGAGGGGGACAACAGUUGGAAACGACUGCUAAUACCGCAUAAGCCCACGGUGCCGCAUGGCACAGAGGGAAAAGGAGCAAUCCGCUUUGAGAUGGCCUCGCGUCCGAUUAGCUAGUUGGUGAGGUAACGGCCCACCAAGGCAACGAUCGGUAGCCGGACUGAGAGGUUGAACGGCCGCAUUGGGACUGAGACACGGCCCAGACUCCUACGGGAGGCAGCAUG
rnacentral:rRNA from 1 species